UCUUCCUCUCGAGUGCAUAUCUUCGAAUGUCCGCGAGAGGUCCCUUUAGACUUCAAACUGGGUUACAACAGACGCUAAAACGCAAGGGCUCUCAAUUGAAGUCCUCAAUACCAGUCUACUAGUCAGCUUGCUCCAGUGAGUCUGUCCUCACCUUCUAAUGCUGUGACUACAGUACUUGUUUGUCGCGCCCACCUCGGCCAGCAAGGAAGAC
rnacentral:sRNA from 1 species